UACGUAGGGGGCAAGCGUUGUCCGGAUUUAUUGGGCGUAAAGAGCGUGUAGGCGGUCAGGUAGGUCGGUUGUGAAAACUGGAGGCUCAACCUUCAGAGGUCGACCGAAACCAUCUGGCUAGAGUCCGGGAGAGGAGAGUGGAAUUCCUGGUGUAGCGGUGAAAUGCGCAGAUAUCAGGAAGAACACCCGUGGCGAAAGCGGCUCUCUGGAACGGUACUGACGCUGAGACGCGAAAGCGUGGGGAGCGAACGGG
rnacentral:rRNA from 1 species